CUAGCGGCGGCUUAAUACAUGCAAGUCGAGGGGCAGCAGGUCUGUAGCAAUACAGAUGCUGGCGACCGGCAAACGGGUGCGGAACACGUACAGAACCUUCCUUCGAGCGGGGAAUAGCCCAGAGAAAUUUGGAUUAAUACCCCAUAGUAUACUGAAGAGGCAUCUCUUUGGUAUUAAAGAUUUAUCACUUGAAGAUGGCUGUGCGGCUGAUUAGGUAGUUGGCGGGGUAAAGGCCCACCAAGCCUGCGAUCAGUAACUGGUGUGAGAGCACGACCAGUCACACGGGCACUGAGACACGGGCCCGACUCCUACGGGAGGCAGCAGUAAGGAAUAUUGGCCAAUGGACGAAAGUCUGAACCAGCCAUGCCGCGUGAAGGAUGAAGGUCCUCUGGAUUGUAAACUUCUUUUAUAUGGGACGAAAAAAGGGUUUUCUAACUCAACUGACGGUACCAUAUGAAUAAGCACCGGCUAACUCCCUGCCAGCAGCCGCGGUAAUACGGAGGGUGCAAGCGUUAUCCGGAUUCACUGGGUUUAAAGGGUGCGUAGGUGGGUUGGUAAGUCAGUGGUGAAUCCCCGAGCUUAACUCGGGAACUGCCAUUGAUACUAUCAGUCUUGAAUACCGUGGAGGUCAGCAGAAUAUGUCAUGUAGCGGUGAAAUGCUUAGAUAUGA
rnacentral:rRNA from 1 species